UUAAAUAGCUUAUAUAGAGCGUAAUAUUGAAGAUAUUAAGGAAACUUGGAGUUUUUAAAUAUU
rnacentral:tRNA from 1 species